AGUAUACUUGGGUAAUAAAACCGCAUUUCUUGAGCGUCUACCAUUACCAACCAAACAACCAGAUUUCUGAAUUUCCAAAGGUUGACUUCAAUUUUAAGAGGUGGAGCUAAAUCUAACUAACGUUGGUUGAAAUGUGGAGCUUAGGAUUCAAUAUUUUGAUUAGGGUUUCUAUUUUGCUCUCAUUUACAUCUUUAAUUUCUUCCUUCGAACCCCAACUCGGAUCAACCCGCGUCGUUUUUCAGACAAAUUAUGGAGAUAUUGAAUUUGGUUUCUAUCCAACUGUUGCACCCAAAACUGUUGAUCACAUUUUUAAGCUUGUGAGACUUGGAGGCUAUAAUACCAAUCAUUUCUUCCGGGUGGAUAAGGGAUUUGUAGCUCAAGUAGCUGAUGUUGCUAAUGGAAGAUCUGCUCCCAUGAACGAGGAACAAAGAAGAGAAGCUGAAAAGACUGUUGUUGGCGAAUUUAGUGAUGUCAAACAUGUUCGGGGUAUUCUUUCUAUGGGAAGGUAUGACGAUCCAGAUAGUGGUUCAUCCUCUUUUUCAAUGUUACUUGGAAAUUCUCCUCAUCUUGAUGGGAAGUAUGCAAUAUUUGGAAAAGUUACUAAAGGUGACGAUACAUUGGCAAAGCUUGAGCAACUACCUACCCGUAAAGAAGGAAUAUUUGUCAUGCCAACGGAGCGCAUCACCAUCCUCUCAUCAUAUUACUAUGGUUCAUGAUAUAAGCUGAUUGCAUGGCCUCCAAAAGUGCUCUCAGCCUCAGACACGGAGACAGAAAAUUGUGAGCAAGACAGAUCGAUUUUGAAGCGCAAGUUAGCUGCAUCAGCCAUUGAAGUUGAAAGACAGAGAAUGAAAUGCUUCCCCUAAUAGAAGCACGUUGAACACAUGAAGUUGGAAUGAAUGUUAUAUUGCUUUAUUAGCUUUUUGUAUAAUGUCUAAAGUAUGAUAUCUGAAUACUGGUGUUUGUUAAGUAUGAGAAAUUAUUCUAAAUAUAUGCAUAAACAUGAAUUCAGAUAGAAGCUCAAUAUAAAAGGCUAAGUUGUUGAAAUUAAA